rnacentral:rRNA from 1 species
GGACCAAGGAGUCUAGCAUGUGCGCGAGUCAUUGGGACACGAUUAAACCUAAAGGCGUAAUGAAAGUAAAGGUUUACCUUGCGUAGACCGAGGGAGGAUGGGUGGUUUGCCCUUAAAGUGGCCACUCCGCACUCCCGGGGCGUCUCAUUCUCAUUGCGAGAAGAGGCGCACCAAGAGCGUACACGCUGGGACCCGAAAGAUGGUGAACUAUGCCUGGUCAGGACGAAGUCAGGGGAAACCCUGAUGGAGGUCCGUAGCGAUUCUGACGUGCAAAUCGAUCGUCGGAACUGGGUAUAGGGGCGAAAGACUAAUCGAACCAUCUAGUAGCUGGUUCCCUCCGAAGUUUCCCUCAGGAUAGCUGGCGCUCGUUGCGUACGAGUUUCAUCCGGUAAAGCGAAUGAUUAGAGGCAUUGGGGUCGAAACGACUUCAACCUAUUCUCAAACUUUAAAUGGGUGAGAUCUCCGGCUUGCUCGAACUUAUGAAGCCGCGAGACUCGAAUCAGAGUGCCAAGUGGGCCAUUUUUGGUAAGCAGAACUGGCGCUGUGGGAUGAACCAAACGUCGAGUUAAAGCGCCUAAAUCGACGCUUAUGGGAUACCAUGAAAGGCGUUGGUAACUUAAGACAGCAGGACGGUGGCCAUGGAAGUCGGAAU